rnacentral:rRNA from 1 species
UACGGAGGGUGCAAACGUUGCUCGGAAUCAUUGGGCGUAAAGCGCACGUAGGCGGCGCGUUAAGUCGGAUGUGAAAGCCCCGGGCUCAACCCGGGAAGUGCAUACGAAACUGGCGCGCUUGAAUAUGGAAGAGGGUCGCGGAAUUCCCGGUGUAGAGGUGAAAUUCGUAGAUAUCGGGAGGAACACCAGUGGCGAAGGCGGCGACCUGGGCCAAUAUUGACGCUGAGGUGCGAAAGCGUGGGGAGCAAAAGGG